rnacentral:rRNA from 1 species
GCCUACGGGGCGCAGCAGUGAGGAAUAUUGGUCAAUGGACGAGAGUCUGAACCAGCCAAGUAGCGUGAAGGAUGACUGCCCUAUGGGUUGUAAACUUCUUUUAUAUGGGAAUAAAACGUUCCACGUGUGGGAUUUUGUAUGUACCAUAUGAAUAAGGAUCGGCUAACUCCGUGCCAGCAGCCGCGGUAAUACGGAGGAUGCGAGCGUUAUCCGGAUUUAUUGGGUUUAAAGGGUGCGCAGGCGGAGGUGCAAGUCAGCGGUCACAUUGCGGGGCUCAACCCCGUACUGCCGUUGAAACUGCAUCC